GAUGAACGCUGGCGGCGUGCCUAAUACAUGCAAGUCGAGCGAACGGACGAGAAGCUUGCUUCUCUGAUGUUAGCGGCGGACGGGUGAGUAACACGUGGAUAACCUACCUAUAAGACUGGGACAACUUCGGGAAACCGGAGCUAAUACCGGAUAAUAUUUUGAACCGCAUGGUUCAAAAGUGAAAGACGGUCUUGCUGUCACUUAUAGAUGGAUCCGCGCUGCAUUAGCUAGUUGGUAAGGUAACGGCUUACCAAGGCAACGAUGCAUAGCCGACCUGAGAGGGUGAUCGGCCACACUGGAACUGAGACACGGUCCAGACUCCUACGGGAGGCAGCAGUAGGGAAUCUUCCGCAAAGGGCGAAAGCCUGACGGAGCAACGCCGCGUGAGUGAUGAAGGUCUUCGGAUCGUAAAACUCUGUUAUUAGGGAAGAACAUAUGUGUAAGUAACUGUGCACAUCUUGACGGUACCUAAUCAGAAAGCCACGGCUAACUACGUG
rnacentral:rRNA from 1 species